CCUAUCUCGUGUCCGUUGUGAAUGCUUUGUGCGUGAAUUUCUUUUUGUCAGCUUUUAAUACGUUUUAUAAUUAUUAUAAAACGUAUUUGUAAUUUAUUUCUCAACUCUCAGAUACACACAUAUAACAACGCUAUCCUUUAUGAAGCAUUUCCAACAUCAGACAACAUUGACAUAACAGAAGAAACAUCCUCAACAUCUACCACGUUUCAAAGACUAAAAGAAAAUAU